rnacentral:tRNA from 2 species
GUCGAUAUGGCGAAAUUGGUAGACGCGCAUGAUUCAGGUUCAUGUGGAGAAAUCCUUGGGGGUUCGACUCCCCCUAUCGACA